UCUUCAAGCGAACCGUACGCGAUGCUAUUAUUCCACUUUUCUCGUCGUACCUUGACACACUAAAAUUGAUCAAGUGCGGAGAAUUGGAAAUUUUCAUUUGAAACUACUAACCGACCAACGGUAGUCAUACCUUGGCAAGUCGCGGGCUGACAGUUGCGUUAACUAUCGGAACGUUCUCCGCCAAGUAUGAGAACAGUCACGGCAAUCAAUGUGGCGGAUAGUCACGUUCGCGGGAGUGUAGUUUGAAAAUUUCUAAGUUGCUUCCACUACUGUUUACGAAGCGCGUAGAUUGUGAUGAAAUCGCAAACUGAGAUAGCCGCGCGAGAUAGCUGGUGGAUGAUAAUCCAAACGCCCGGAGUUCGAACCCACAUCGGAGCAGUUUUCACCAAACAUCAAUCUGUGCCAUUUUAAACAUUCAUAUUCCACUCCCAACACAAGUCAAUC